rnacentral:ncRNA from 12 species
ACAAACAGAGGACGGAACGGGCAGCCGUCGCCCCUCGGAACAACUCUUACAGCUGGGAGCCGAGGUUCGGAGAUGCGGGAAAAGUCACCCCGCCUGUUUUGC